AAAACACUAGUAAAGCAGUUCAUUACAUCGCCUUGUCAAGGCGAAAUCGCGGGUUAAAACCCCGCGUGUUUUG
rnacentral:tRNA from 1 species